rnacentral:tRNA from 1 species
GGAGAGUUGACCGAGUUGGUUAAGGUGACAGACUUAAGAUCUGUUGGUAUGUCUACCGCGCGAGUUCGAAUCUCGUACUCUUCA